rnacentral:rRNA from 1 species
UACGUAGGGGGCAAGCGUUGUCCGGAGUUAUUGGGCGUAAAGGGCGCGUAGGCGGAUUUUUAAGUCUGGUGUGAAAGAUCAGGGCUCAACCCUGAGAGUGCAUCGGAAACUGGAGAUCUUGAGGACAGGAGAGGAAAGUGGAAUUCCACGUGUAGCGGUGAAAUGCGUAGAUAUGUGGAGGAACACCAGUGGCGAAGGCGACUUUCUGGACUGUAACUGACGCUGAGGCGCGAAAGCGUGGGGAGCAAACAGGAGUAGAUACCCUGGUAGUCCACGCCGUAAACGAUGAGUGCUAGGUGUAGAGGGUAUCGACCCCUUCUGUGCCGCAGUUAACACAAUAAGCACUCCGCCUGGGGAGUACGGCCGCAAGGUUGAA